rnacentral:rRNA from 1 species
GUAAUUUCCUAGCGGCGGACGGGUGAGUAACACGUGGGCAACCUGCCUGAUAGAGGGGGAUAGCCUCCCGAAAGGGAGAUUAAUACCGCAUAAAGUCAAAUGAAGGCAUCUUCAAAUGACCAAAGGAGUAAUCCGCUAUCAGAUGGGCCCGCGGCGCAUUAGCUAGUUGGUGAGGUAACGGCUCACCAAGGCGACGAUGCGUAGCCGACCUGAGAGGGUGAUCGGCCACAUUGGGACUGAGACACGGCCCAGACUCCUACGGGAGGCAGCAGUGGGGAAUAUUGCACAAUGGGGGAAACCCUGAUGCAGCAACGCCGCGUGAGUGAUGAAGGCCUUCGGGUUGUAAAGCUCUGUCUUCAGGGACGAUAAUGACGGUACCUGAGGAGGAAGCCACGGCUAACUACGUGCCAGCAGCCGCGGUAAUACGUAGGUGGCAAGCGUUGUCCGGAUUUACUGGGCGUAAAGGGAGCGUAGGCGGAUACUUAAGUGGGAUGUGAAAUACCUGGGCUUAACUUGGGUGCUGCAUUCCAAACUGGGUGUCUAGAGUGUUGGAGAGGAAAGUGGAAUUCCUAGUGUAGCGGUGAAAUGCGUAGAGAUUAGGAAGAACACCAGUGGCGAAGGCGACUUUCUGGACAAUAACUGACGCUGAGGCUCG